GAUGACGCUGGCGGCGUGCCUAAUACAUGCAAGUCGAGCGAGCGGCGGACGGGUGAGUCAUGUCUGGGAGCCUGCCCGUUGGAGGGGGCUAACUACUGGAAACGGUAGCUAAUACUGCAUCCCAUCGGGUCUGCCCCGAUGGGAUUAGUUGGUAGGUGAGGUAACGGCCCACCUAGGAGACGAUCCCUAGCUGGACUGAGAGGAUGACCAGCCACACUGGAAUUGAGACACGGUCCAGACUCCUACGGGAGGCAGCAGUGGGGAAUAUUGGACAAUGGGCGAAAGCCGGAUGCAGCCAUGCCGCGUGUGUGAAGAAGGCCUUCGGGUUGUAAAGUACUUUCAGCGGGGAGGCGUUACCCGCAGAAGAAGCACCGGCUAACUACGUGCCAGCAGCCGCGGUAAUUC
rnacentral:rRNA from 1 species